UGUUCCAGUUUCUGGGAAGCAGUGAGUAGUUGUGCUUGUACAGAGAAGACCAAGUUGGAGCAGGCUCCUUGUGUAUCAUGUGACUGGACAAGACAACAGUGGCAGAAAAAGAAAACACAACAUUGUGAAAAACAUCUAAGAAAAAGAGAUGAUAUCCUAACAGUCUACUGGAAACUUUUGGAGAAGAUCUGGAGGCUGUUCUUUCAAAGUUUUAAUGUUGAGGCCAAUGAGUCUUGCCAGUGCCAGGCUACAAGGAGACUAUACAAAAAAGAAGACCAGGUUACACUGCAACAAUGGGUAAAACACUUAACACAAGAUCUUCACAACCAUUUCUGGGUCUACUGGACUCGUUCAGGGGAGAAGCCUAAUACUUUCUGGAUCCGGGUAGGAAGAGUGAGCAUGAAGAAAAAACUUAAAAGAGAAGCUGAGAAAUCGUAUGACAGAAGAACAAAUGAGAUGUUAAAUAUGGUAUCAAUGGGGAAAUGAGACAAAAAGAAUAUUAACUGUGUAGAGUUGCAAAGAGUCAAUUAAAAAUAGUAAAGAAGAUUCUACUUGACACAGUGAAGCAAAGGAAACCAGCUGCAAGACUGGAAGAGUGGACAUAUAUUGUGUUAUACUGUGUUAUGAGCGAAUUGUUAGAGAAGAUGGGGAAAAAAGAGGGAGCAAUUAUGACUACACAGUUUUGAUGCAUUUGAGAUGCAGGAAGGAGAUCUGGCUCUCUGGAAAGGAACUGAACACUAUUAAUAGAAAUAUUAACUGAAACUGAGGCAAACAUGGCAAUGAAUAAAAACAUGAAAACACGAAUACUUGUGAUCUUU
rnacentral:lncRNA from 1 species